CUCCAAGGAACAUUCAACGCUGUCGGUGAGUUUGGGAUUUGAAAAAAAACCACUGACCGUUGACUGUACCUUGGGG
rfam:Callithrix jacchus chromosome 1, whole genome shotgun sequence